ACAGCACAAAGUUUUAAAGCUGCCAGGGGAGAGGGCGGCCUGCACGGCUUCGCCCAACACAGACGCACGCUAAAGGCACGCCGAGGCCUUUCCAGGAAACACAGAAUUCAGCGGGCGCUGAAUCGUGCCCGUAAGCCGCUCGCAUCCUUUAGUGCUGAGCACGGACAGCAGGGCUUUGCCAGACUGGAAGUAUCCAGGUGCUCCGUGUGACGCUGGUGGGAAUGGUUCGUGCUGCUGCCGCUCGUGUCGGGGCUGUAAGAUCUGAUGUCAGGUUGGUCCCGACACCGGGACCCUGAGUGAAGA
rnacentral:lncRNA from 1 species